rnacentral:rRNA from 1 species
UACGGGGGGGCGAAGCGUUGUUCGGAAUUACUGGGCGUAAAGGGCUCGUAGGCGGCCAACUAAGUCGGAUGUGAAAUCCCCAGGCUUAACCUGGGAACUGCAUCCGAUACUGGAUGGCUUGAAUCCGGGAGAGGGAUGCGGAAUUCCAGGUGUAGCGGUGAAAUGCGUAGAUAUCUGGAGGAACACCGGUGGCGAAGGCGGCAUCCUGGACCGGCAUUGACGCUGAGGAGCGAAAGCCAGGGGAGCAAACGGG